CUAUCGAUUAUGGAUGGACCCGCGUCUGAUUAGCUAGUUGGUGGGGUAAAGGCCUACCAAGGCGACGAUCAGUAGCCGGCCUGAGAGGGUGAACGGCCGCACUGGGACUGAGACACGGCCCAGACUCCUACGGGAGGCAGCAGUGGGGAAUCUUCCGCAGUGGACGAAAGUCUGACGGAGCAACGCCGCGUGUAUGAUGAAGGUCUUCGGAUUGUAAAGUACUGUCUUUGGGGAAGAACGGUCUUCUUGAAAAUAUUGAGGGGAUAUGACGGUACCCAGAGAGGAAGCCCCGGCUAACUACGUGCCAGCAGCCGCGGUAAUACGUAGGGGGCGAGCGUUGUCCGGAAUUAUUGUGCGUAAAGGGCGCGUAGGCGGAUGGUUAAGUCCGAUGUGAAAGAUCAGGGCUCAACCCUGAGGGUGCAUCGGAGACUGGGCAUCUUGAGGACAGGACAGGAAAGUGGAAUUCCACGUGUAGCGGUGAAAUGCG
rnacentral:rRNA from 1 species